UUUAAAUUGAGAGUUUGAUCCUGGCUCAGGACGAACGCUGGCGGCGUGCCUAACACAUGCAAGUCGAGCGAUGAAACUUCCUUCGGGAAGUGGAUUAGCGGCGGACGGGUGAGUAACACGUGGGUAACCUGCCUCAAAGAGGGGGAUAGCCUCCCGAAAGGGAGAUUAAUACCGCAUAACAUUAUUUUAUGGCAUCAUAGAAUAAUCAAAGGAGUAAUCCGCUUUGAGAUGGACCCGCGGCGCAUUAGCUAGUUGGUGAGGUAAGGGCUCACCAAGGCGACGAUGCGUAGCCGACCUGAGAGGGUGAUCGGCCACAUUGGAACUGAGACACGGUCCAGACUCCUACGGGAGGCAGCAGUGGGGAAUAUUGCGCAAUGGGGGAAACCCUGACGCAGCAACGCCGCGUGAGUGAUGAAGGUUUUCGGAUCGUAA
rnacentral:rRNA from 1 species